GACGAACGCUGGCGGCGCGCUUAACACAUGCAAGUCGAGCGAUGAAACUUUGACAGAUCCCUUCGGGGUGAAGAUAAAGUGGAUUAGCGGCGGACGGGUGAGUAACACGUGAGUAACCUGCCUCGGACAUUGGGAUAGCCUCGGGAAACCGGGAUUAAUACCAAAUGAAAUCAAAGAUACACAUGUAUCAAUGAUCAAAACUCCGGUGGUCUGAGAUGGACUCGCGUCCCAUUAGCUAGUUGGUAAGGUA
rnacentral:rRNA from 1 species